rnacentral:rRNA from 1 species
UCGGGGGACAGAGUGACAGGUGGUGCAUGGUUGUCGUCAGCUCGUGUCGUGAGAUGUUGGGUUAAGUCCCGCAACGAGCGCAACCCUUGAUCUUAGUUGCCAGCAUUCAGUUGGGCACUCUAAGGUGACUGCCGGUGACAAACCGGAGGAAGGUGGGGAUGACGUCAAAUCAUCAUGCCCCUUAUGACCUGGGCUACACACGUGCUACAAUGGAUGGUACAAAGGGCUGCAAACCUGCGAAGGUAAGCGAAUCCCAUAAAGCCAUUCUCAGUUCGGAUUGCAGGCUGCAACUCGCCUGCAUGAAGCCGGAAUCGCUAGUAAUCGCGGAUCAGCAUGCCGCGGUGAAUACGUUCCCGGGCCUUGUACACACCGCCCGUCACACCACGAGAGUUUGUA